UAGGGAAUCUUCCACAAUGGGCGAAAGCCUGAUGGAGCAACGCCGCGUGUGUGAUGAAGGGUUUCGGCUCGUAAAACACUGUUGUAAGGGAAGAAUGACAUUGAGAGUAACUGUUCAAUGUGUGACGGUAUCUUACCAGAAAGGAACGGCUAAAUACGUGCUAG
rnacentral:rRNA from 1 species